rnacentral:rRNA from 1 species
AUGGGUGGCGGCAUGGAGGUGAACAAGAACCGCUGGAUCGAGGAGUGGAACGCCGGCCGGGAGAACCUCGAGCUCAACUUCCGCUUUACCCGCCGCAGCCUCGCCGUCAUCGGCCUCUUCGGCCUCGCCGUCCCCAUCCUCGUCUACAAGGGCAUCGUUCGCGAAUUCCAUAUGCAGGACGAGGACGCCGGCCGGCCGUACAGGAAGUUCCUGUGA